rnacentral:rRNA from 1 species
UACGAGGGGGGCGAGCGUUGUUCGGAAUUACUGGGCGUAAAGCGCGUGUAGGCGGCUCUUCAAGUCAGGCGUGAAAGCCCCGGGCUUAACUCGGGAACUGCGCUUGAUACUGUCGAGCUAGAGUGUGGAAGGGGCGAUUGGAAUUCCGUGUGUAGCGGUGAAAUGCGUAGAUAUACGGAGGAACACCAGAGGCGAAGGCGGAUCGCUGGGCCAACACUGACGCUGAGACGCGAAAGCUAGGGGAGCAAACGGG